GAUGAACGCUGGCGGCGUGCCUAAUACAUGCAAGUCGAGCGAACGGACGAGAAGCUUGCUUCUCUGAUGUUAGCGGCGGACGGGUGAGUAACACGUGGAUAACCUACCUAUAAGGCUGGGAUAACUUCGGGAAACCGGAGCUAAUACCGGAUGAUAUUUUGAACCGCAUGGUUCAAAAGUGAAAGACGGUCUUGCUGUCACUUAUAGAUGGAUCCGCGCUGCAUUAGCUAGUUGGUAAGGUAACGGCUUACCAAGGCAACGAUGCAUAGCCGACCUGAGAGGGUGAUCGGCCACACUGGAACUGAGACACGGUCCAGACCCCUACGGGAGGCAGCAGUAGGGAAUCUUCCGCAAUGGGCGAAAGCCUGACGGAGCAACGCCGCGUGAGUGAUGAAGGUCUUCGGAUCGUAAAACUCUGUUAUUAGGGAAGAACAUAUGUGUAAGUAACUGUGCACAUCUUGACGGUACCUAAUCAGAAAGCCACGGCUAACUACGUG
rnacentral:rRNA from 1 species